UUGCAACCUAGAAAUUGAAGAUGGAGGUAAAAGCACAUCAAAGGUAACACGAGCUGGGACCGCUUGACCGUCUGAUGCACCUGUCCAAAAUAUUCCACCAUUUUCUGAUGCUUUCUCCAGGCUAGUCAUUAGAAUCUCCGCUUGAACCCUGAAUGAUAAGAGAAGAGGGGAAGCAAUAGAAGGUUUUGCAUUCUUCUUUGAGGCAUUGGUUAUUAUCUCAGGGAGGACUGAAGUUGGAGAGCUCGAAAGGGAGGAAUUGUUGCUCGAGUAAGUCUCCGAAAAGUUCUUCUCGAAUGCGUCAGGUGAAGGACUUGGACUUGUAUCUCUCGUCUUACAUUCCUCAUCCUCAGACUCAUCCUCAUGCUCGUGUUCAUGCUCAUCCUCAUCCUCAUCCGCAUCCGUCAUCUCUAACAUCCUUUCACUAGCUAACUUGAUAAUGUCAUCGAGCAAUGCCAAUACUACAUAAGUAAUAUAAGAAAACCAUUAUGACUGCACAUCGAAGUGAAAAAUAUAAAUAAUGGAAAAGGCUGAAUACAUUGAUAGCCCCUUAUACUUGUCAGCAAAUUUCAUUUAGAAACUCGAACUAGGGUUUGUUUUGAUUGAACACCUGAACACAUGAUAAUGUGUUCCUAUCAGACACUUUGAGUUCAAAUUUCAAAAAAGCUUUUUCACGUGUUAUUAAGCGCCAAUUACAUUAAUAAAUUAACCAAUUAAAAUAUGUCGCUUUCUUUAAUUAUACGCAUUAGCCUCAAUAAGCCGUAAAACUUUAUGCAUGAUCCAAUUGAGGUUGAUGUGUCUAAUUAAAGGAAGUGACAUAUUGUAUGUGGUUAAUUUACUAUGUCAUGGACAUCUGAGAACACGUCCAGAAGCUGUUACAAAAUUUGAACUCGAAGUUUCUAUUAUGAAGACUUUAUCAUGUGUUAAGGUAUUCAAUCGAAAUAGGCCUUAGUUCGAAUGUCUAAAUGAAAUUUGAUGGCAAGUUUAAGGGGCUAUUGAUGUAUUAAGCCAACGGAAAAAUACAUCACUUUAUAAUGUUGAACUACAGAGAUGAUCAUAUACCAUAUUCAAAAUCAUUUAGUUUACUGUGUGAGUUCCCUUUGCAUGUGACCAUCCACUCAUCAUUUCCUGUCCACAUUUGCCCGAUUGAUUUCAAUAUAUCACAAAAGCAUCGCACUUUCUGAAAAAAAAAAAAAAAAAAAGGGAAAUUUUGGUGAGCUCAAUAAGUUUGUGAUUUUGUUUAAAAACAACAGCUACUGCAUAUACUUAAAGUGCUCAACUUAGGGAGUAAAUUACUUCAUGUAUUGAUGUUCCAUCUAUUUUUGACAAUGAAAAAUUCGGAUUGAUCGAAGGAAACAGUUUAUGUAGAUCUCUCAGAGUUGAUAUCAGCAGCUGUUGAAAACAGAAAAAAGUUAAUUAAAGAGACUCUUCUUGUUAUUCUCUCCUGAAAAUGGCAUAGACAUUUAUAUGAGUAAAGUGAUUGUAUGUUGCUUGGACUCUUCCAAAAUGUUGACAGGUGCGUGUCGGAUCUUUCAAAAGUAGUGCAUUUUUGGAGGAUCCGACACAGGUGGCGAAACCAGGAGCUUUGGAAGGGCGUCAAGAUUUAAUAUAUAUGUAUAAAAAAUUCAGAGCCAUCACAAGGAGAAAGAUCAAGCAAAUCUCUCAAUGUGAGGAUCUUGUUUUGUAUACCUGUCAUUAUUCUGAAAUUGCUGGCCACACCAAUUGAAUUGUGAAAAGUGGGACUUUUUGUUGCUCUCACCCCAUUUGAAUUGAGCAAUCUGGGACUUUUUGGUGUUUUCACCAUAUUUGAAUUGUGUAAUCUUGGACUUCUUGGUGUUUGCACCCAACAUGAAUUGCGCACUUUGGAGA